rnacentral:rRNA from 1 species
CAAAAGCGUAUAUUAAAGUUGUUGCGGUUAAAAAGCUCGUAGUUGGAUUUCUGUUGGGAACGACCGGUCCGCCCAUUGGGUGUGUAUCUGGCUUGUUCUCGGCAUCUUCUUGGUGAACGUUGCUGCACUUGACUGUGUGGAGCGCUACCCAGGACUUUUACUUUGAGGAAAUUAGAGUGUUUCAAGCAGGCAUAUGCCUUGAAUACAUUAGCAUGGAAUAAUAAGAUAGGACCUCGGUUCUAUUUUGUUGGUUUCUAGAGCUGAGGUAAUGAUUAAUAGGGAUAGUUGGGGGCAUUCGUAUUUAACUGUCAGAGGCGAAAUUCUUGGAUUUGUUAAAGACGGACUACUGCGAAAGCAUUUGCCAAGGAUGUUUUCAUUGA